AGUCGCGUGACCGAGUGGAUAGGUGGUGGUCUGCAAAACCCCAAACGGCAGUUCGAAUCUGCCCGCGACGU
rnacentral:tRNA from 1 species